CAGUCGCCGCGGGAAUACGUAGGUGGCAAGCGUUGUCCGGAAUUAUUGGGCGUAAAGCGCGCGCAGGCGGAUCAGUUAGUCUGUCUUAAAAGUUCGGGGCUUAACCCCGUGAGGGGAUGGAAACUGCUGAUCUAGAGUAUCGGAGAGGAAAGUGGAAUUCCUAGUGUAGCGGUGAAAUGCGUAGAUAUUAGGAAGAACACCAGUGGCGAAGGCGACUUUCUGGACGAAAACUGACGCUGAGGCGCGAAAGCCAGGGGAGCGAACGGGAUUAGAUACCCCUGUAGUCCCUGUCUCUUAUACC
rnacentral:rRNA from 1 species